AUUGAACGCUGGCGGCAGGCCUAACACAUGCAAGUCGAGCGGAUGAAGGGAGCUUGCUCCUGGAUUCAGCGGCGGACGGGUGAGUAAUGCCUAGGAAUCUGCCUGGUAGUGGGGAUAAAGUUCGGAAACGGGGGCCUAUUCCGCAUUCCGUCCGGGGGGGGAAGUGGGGGGUUCUCGGACCCUCCGGUUAUCGGUGAGCCUAGGUCGGAUUAGCUAGUUGGUGGGGUAAAGGCCUACCAAGGCGACGAUCCGUAACUGGUCUGAGAGGAUGAUCAGUCACACUGGAACUGAGACACGGUCCAGACUCCUACGGGAGGCAGCAGUGGGGAAUAUUGGACAAUGGGCGAAAGCCUGAUCCAGCCAUGCCGCGUGUGUGAAGAAGGUCUUCGGAUUGUAAAGCACUUUAAGUUGGGAGGAAGGGCAGUAAGUUAAUACCUUGCUGUUUUGACGUUACCAACAGAAUAAGCACCGGCUAACUUCGUG
rnacentral:rRNA from 1 species